GCACCAGUGGCCUGGUGGUAAAGGCCACCAAAUUAUUACCCCGAAAGACGUGGGUUCGAAACCCACCAGUUGUA
rnacentral:tRNA from 1 species